rnacentral:rRNA from 1 species
UACGUAGGUGGCAAGCGUUGUCCGGAUUUAUUGGGUUUAAAGGGUGCGUAGGCGGUUCUAUAAGUCAGUGGUGAAAUCCGGCAGCUCAACUGUCGAUGUGCCAUUGAUACUGCAGAACUUGAGUACAGACGAGGUAGGCGGAAUUGACGGUGUAGCGGUGAAAUGCUUAGAUAUCGGCAAGAACACCGAUAGCGAAGGCAGCUUACUAGACUGUAACUGACGCUGAUGCACGAAAGUGUGGGGAUCAAACAGG